GUUGCUUUUAUUUGCAAUAUUAGCACACCCAGUGUGACUCUUGAGGGUAAUAUUUUCCAGUCAAGUGAUCUCUUGACUGGUGGCAGCCAGCGGUUUAGGGCGGCACUUUAAGAUGAAAGAGGCAAAAGAAGCAUUCUAGACCUUAAAUGAAGAAGGUCGAACUCUCUCGGCAUCAUUUUGAUGAGUGUAUAAUCUUAAUGUAUUUUAUAUCAAUUUGUACACUCAAUUGGCAUGUAUUAGAAUUAUAUUGUGGAAUUCGAUGUUAAUAUAGUGUGUUGUGCAUUAAUAGGGUUAGAGUAGUGCUUAAAGACAAGAGAGAGUCAAAAGAAGCAUUUCAUACCUUAAACGAUGAAGUUGGAGCUCUUUCGGCAUCAUUAGAACAAAGAUAAGGCAAACUAUGUGACUUAGAGACAGCAUACGGUUAUCCUUACAGUCGUAAGUCAAUUUUAAAAAACCUUGUUAGCAUGCUUAUGAUUGUAAGGGGGAUUCAAAGCCAAGCCAGAGGACUUUACGAUUACAGCAUACACCCGUAAGAACGGUCACAAAGAGCAAAACAGUGAAGUUUACGGUACAACAUUUAUGGCCAUAACCUGAAUUGCAAUAGAAACAGAAAACCUUACGGACGGGCUUACGGCUCUAAGUCAUCCUGUAAGGCUCGUGGCUAUCUUCUCUAACUCCCUUAUGGCCUAGCGCUUACGCCUGUAAGCAGCUUGGUCGAUCCUUGGAGGAGAGGUUGAAGAAGAUAAGAUGUGAAUCUCCAAUACCUAAAGAGUAAUUUCAAGGGGAUUUAGCUCUAUAUUCAAGGGGAUUCUAGAUCGUAGCAAUCAAGCUUAUUUUGGCAGCAUGCGUGGAAGCUUACAUAGGGCUUCUCCGGAGAUUCUUCAUCGACGUGAUUAAGAAGGGGGGUUUCAUGGCUUUCAUGUUUUCCUCCAUUAUUUGUAUCUUGAAUGAUUACCCUCCAUUAAUUGAGGGUUUAAUGGAGGGCUAAUAUGUAAAUGUUUGGGUAUACUUGAACUCUACCGUUUAUUUUCUUGACUUUGGUUGUUGUAUUUUUUAUGC